UACAGAGGGGGCAAGCGUUGUUCGGAAUUACUGGGCGUAAAGGGCGCGUAGGCGGCCUUCUAAGUCAGACGUGAAAUCCCCGGGCUCAACCCGGGAACUGCGUCUGAUACUGGAAGGCUUGAGACCGGGAGAGGUGAGUGGAAUUCCCAGUGUAGCGGUGAAAUGCGUAGAUAUUGGGAGGAACACCAGUGGCGAAGGCGGCUCACUGGACCGGUACUGACGCUGAUGCGCGAAAGCGUGGGGAGCAAACGGG
rnacentral:rRNA from 1 species